AUACGUAUGUCGCAAGCGUUAUCCGGAUUUAUUGGGCGUAAAGCGCGUCUAGGCGGCUUAGUAAGUCUGAUGUGAAAAUGCGGGGCUCAACCCCGUAUUGCGUUGGAAACUGCUAAACUAGAGUACUGGAGAGGUAGGCGGAACUACAAGUGUAGAGGUGAAAUUCGUAGAUAUUUGUAGGAAUGCCGAUGGGGAAGCCAGCCUACUGGACAGAUACUGACGCUAAAGCGCGAAAGCGUGGGUAGCAAACAGGAUUAGAUACCCUGGUAGUCCACGCCGUAAACGAUGAUUACUAGGUGUUGGGGGUCGAACCUCAGCGCCCAAGCUAACGCGAUAAGUAAUCCGCCUGGGGAGUACGUACGCAAGUAUGAAACUCAAAUGAAUCGGCGGGG
rnacentral:rRNA from 1 species